rnacentral:miRNA from 1 species
GGUUUCUCUGUGUAGCCCUGGCUGUCCUGGAACUCACUCUGUAGACCAGGCUGGCAUUGAACUCAGAAAUCCGCCUGCCUCUGCCUCCCAAGUGCUGGGAUUAAAGGCAUGUGCCACCACUGCCCG